rnacentral:rRNA from 1 species
GACAGAGGAUGCAAGCGUUGUCCGGAAUUAUUGGGCGUAAAGAGCUCGUAGGCGGUCUGUCGCGUCGGCUGUGAAAACCCGGAGCUCAACUCCGGGCCUGCAGUCGAUACGGGCAAACUGGAGUACUGCAGGGGAGACUGGAAUUCCUGGUGUAGCGGUGAAAUGCGCAGAUAUCAGGAGGAACACCGGUGGCGAAGGCGGGUCUCUGGGCAGUAACUGACGCUGAGGAGCGAAAGCGUGGGGAGCGAACAGG